rnacentral:lncRNA from 1 species
CGCUGGAGGCCCUCGCUUUUCAGAAUUGUUACAGAAACAAUGCAAAGCGGUGCUUAGCCGGAUGUCCUGAUCUCGAUUAGAGGCAAGCUCAGCGGCGCUCGGUACAUAAAGCGAGACGGCGUCCAAGAGAAGCCACCUCUGCCGAGCGAUAGCAGAGACUCACUGCUGCGGGAGGUCGCUUCGCCAAAACAAGCAUGAAGCUUUUCGUCGCUGUCGCCCUCAUCUCUUUGGGCAUCCAGACUGAGGCCCUAUACCCUGGCCUUUUCCAAUCUGGCCUCUACGGUGCCGGCUUAUUGGGCGGAAACCCCGGACUCUUCGGUGGACCGGGUGGGAACUUUCCCGGCGACCUCCGCCUCAUCACUGAACCUACCUCUGGCCUACCCCUGAGUGACGCAGUAUACGUCGGUCUUGUGCGCCAGCGUCUGGUACCUGCUCCAUACCACAUCCCAAGGCCGGUACCAUUUGGAGUUCCCCAUCCAGUACCACAGCCAUUCGCAGUUGACGUACCUAUCCCACAGCCGUUCCAAGUCCAGUUCCACAGCCAGUACCAAUCCACACUUUGACUGAAGUCACCGACACCGCAGUCAUCCGGCCCUUUACUACCGCAUAUGUCACAGAGCACGGACCUGUAAUCAACCAGGUACAAGCUCAUCUCCCACUCGUACUCUAUUGAAGAGGCAACCCUAAGAAUCGUUAGUUGCAAGAAAUUCGAUAAUCAUGUACAGCAAACAAAUUUCUGCUCUGCAAAUAUUGCUGUAAUAAAGAACAAUAUAUCAG